rnacentral:rRNA from 1 species
UACGUAGGGUGCUAGCGUUGUUCGGAAUUACUGGGCGUAAAGCGUGCGCAGGCGGUUGUGCAAGACCGAUGUGAAAUCCCCGGGCUCAACCUGGGAACUGCAUUGGUGACUGCACGGCUAGAGUGCGUCAGAGGGGGGUAGAAUUCCACGUGUAGCAGUGAAAUGCGUAGAGAUCGGGAGGAACACCAGUGGCGAAGGCGGCCUUCUGGACCAAUACUGACGCUCAUGCACGAAAGCGUGGGGAGCAAACAGG